UAUUUGCUGACAAAAAUUUUCAUGUAUAGCCUUUGAGGUCCAGAAUGAUAAUUGAAUUUUUCAUAUCUUCUACAUCCUUAUUUGUGUGUUUUCCGAAUGAGUAUUCAAAUUCUGAAAGAAGCAUGUCAAAAUCUCCAAAUGCCAAGUCCCUUUAUUUAUAGGCACAGCUGCAUAAAGAAAUAAGUUGGCCCCUGAUGGCGACAGAGCUUCUUGACCCCUGACCAGGUAUCAAAGGAAGAUAAGACCUCACGAAACCAGCACAAAUCGGAACAGUUGCUUUGAGAAAAAUAGAAGUACAGGCCAGGCGCGGUGGCUCACGCCUGUAAUCCCAGCACUUUGGGAGGCCAAGGCGGGCAGAUCAUGAGGUCAGGAGAUCGAGACCAUCCUGGCUAACACAGUGAAACCCCAUCUCUACUAAAAAUACAAAAAAUUUGCCAGGCAUUGUGGCAGGUGCCUGUGGUCCCAGCUGCUCGGGAUGCUGAGGCAGGAGGAUGGCAUGAACCUGGGAGGUGGAGCUUGCAGUGAGCUGAGAUGGUGCCACUGCACUCCAGCCUGGGCAACACAGUGAGACUCCGUCUCAAAAAAAAAGAAAGAAAAAUAGAGGUACUCAGUUAUAAUCAGAAUAUUGGUCAAAAUAUGGACUGUAAGACCAUCCAAUGAAGUCUCAGAUGGAAAUGAGGAACAGAAUAUUGGAAACUGGAGUAAAGACCAUCCUCGUUAUAAAGCAGCAAAGAACUUGGCUGAAUUGUGUCCAUGCCUGAGGGCUUUUGAAAGGCAGAACUUAAGAGUGAUGAACUGGAAUAUAUGGCAGAAGAAAUAUUUCAACAGCAAAGCAUUCAGGCUGCUGCAUGACCACUUUUGGCUGUUUAUGGUAAGAUGAGAGAAGAAACAGAGGAGAAAAAUUUUGGAAAAUUCACAGCCUGGCCAUGUGGUAGAGAAUGAAAGAGCAUUUUCAACAGAGGAAACCAAGGAUGUGAACAAGUGACCAAUUAAUGAGAGAAUUAGAGUGAAUGGAAGAAAGCCAGAGGCUCUUUGUUAUGACAAUGGGAGAAAACCCCUGAAGGCAUUUCAGAGAUCUUUGAGGCCGCCCCUCCCAUUACAGGACCAGAGGUAUAGGAGGACAGAGUGGUUUCGUGGAUAGGCUGCUGCCCAGGAUCACUUCAGGUCUCUGUUCCCUGCAUUUCAAGACAGUGCUCCUCAGUGCCCCAUCCGUGGCUCAAGCAGCCCCAGGUGUAUCUUGAUCCACAGCUCCAGGAAGUAUAAGUUGUAAGCCUUGGUGGCAUCCAUGUGGUGUUAAGUCUGUGGGGUUUCAGAAUACAAGAGCUAUGGGGAUAUGACUGCCUCCACCUAUGUUUCAAAGAAUGACUUGUACUGGAAGCCCAAGCAGAAACCUGCCACAGGGUGGAGCUGCCACAGAGUGCCUCUAUUAGGUAGAUUCCCAGCAGAAAUGUAGGGUUGGAGCCACCAUAGAGAGCCCCAGCAAGGGCAAUGCCUAAUGAAACCGUGGGAGCAGGACCACCAAGGAGACCACCUAACUGUAGGGCUACCAGCACGCAAACUAGCCUGGCAGAGCUGUGAUGUGGCUUGCACCCAGCAAAGCCACUGGGGCAGGGCUUCCUGAGACCCUGGGGCCAAGCCACUGCUCCAAUGUCCCUAGGAUGCAGGACACUGAGUCUAAGGAAAUUAUUCUCUAACUUAAAGACUACUGUUGUUUACCCUGUUGGGUUUUGGACUUACUUGGGACCUGCUACUCCUUUCAUUUUGCCUAUUUCUUUUUGGGGGAGGGGAUGGAGUCUCACUCAGUCACCCAGGCUGGAGUGUAGUGGUACAAUCUCAGUUCACUGCAACCUUUGCCUCUUGGGUUCGAGUAAUUCUCCUGCCUCAGCCUACUGAGUAGCUGG